GGUGUGUUAAAUUUGUUAAGAUAAAUUUAUUGAUACAAUAAUAAACCAAUAUUGGCGAUGGUGGGGGUGUAUUCUACGACGCUCCUACUGGAGAUGAAGCCAUUGUUAUUUGAUUUUUUUUUUCUAAAUACACUCCCAACAAACAAUGUCUCUCUUGCCAUACUAAUUUAUAUUUUUGUCUCAUCAACUCGGGUAUUGACUAAAUCAUCAAAGACUAGAACAAAAUUCACACAAUUACCAUUCACUUUACAAUUACCAUGCCAAUUUGUAUGUGUACGUCAAACAUUUACCGUCAGAUGAUUUCUCGUGUACAUAUUUAGUAAUGUACGUACAUUUUUCUAAAAAUCAUGUUUUAUCUCAUGGUUAUGACUCACAAAUGGUUGAAUAUCACCAUUCUCUCCAAAAUAAUCGAUGUUUUUUCAGUUACGUACACGUUAAUUAGUAUACGUACACGUUUCUAAUAAUCAACUGAAUUUUUAUGUUAGCCCCACAGUAAGUUGAGUGUCACCAUCAUUCCCGACAUGUCAUAUCCCAUAUUUCUCAACAACAAAAUCAGUCAACUUGUUGUAAUGUAAUCUUCGCCACUACCUUUAUUACCGUUUAUAGUUGUCAUCUUCAUCGUCCCCUUCCUCAUCCUUUCUCUUUUUCGUCGUCCUCAUCCUCUUUUUUUUCAUCCUCUUUAUCACUCUGUACUUCUUCUGCUUCAUCUACUUCCUCAUUGUUUUCACCACCGACCCAUGGUCAGUUUCAUCAGAAAGGUCCUCCAUCUUUCUAUGUAAUUAUUAUUUUAAAAAUUUUAAUGAACGUUAUGUUACAUAAUAUUAUUGGUGGAUAAUAUAUAAGAUUCUAAACUAAUAUAUAAGAUUCGUAAACGUAGUGGGCUGAGUUGGGUCUUACAUAAAUCGUCGAAAUUGAAACAUCAUCAUUAUUGAGCAACUCCACCUCACCACUUAGCAAUAUAGAAAAGCCAUUAUACACUUCAGAAGAAUCAUUCAUUGUUAAUAAAUCGUACUUUGAUUCAGGUAAAACCGAUCUUCCAAUACUA
rnacentral:lncRNA from 1 species